GUCUAUGCCCAUGCCACCUUGAACAUGCCUGAUCUCAUCUGAUCUUGGAAGUUAAGCAAGGUCAGGUCUGGUUAGUACUUGGAUGAGAGACCACAUAGGAAAACCUGGUACAGUAUGUGUA
ensembl:rRNA 5S_rRNA 5S ribosomal RNA